UUAAAUCUGUGCGUGAUUCUUCUUCAUCGAUACGACCCUGUACAGAGUCUCAAGGUGUGACUGAGAGCAGAAAUACAAGAAUGAUGCAGUGUGCAGAAGCCAACCUCUUAGUUAAAAGAAGUGGAGAAGGAUGGAGACUGAAUCUAGAGUUCCCAGGCUGGGGCAUUCUUCAAUGUUUGGGACCUACGCCAUCCUUUGUCUGGACUCAUUACAACAAUACCACUUAGCCCUGUCUUCACCAUGUGAGCAGCAAAAGAUGGUCUAUGGAGAUUUUCUUUUCCCUUUUUUGCUUUGUAUGUUCAUAUUCAAAGGGUUUUUAUAAGGAAGAAGUUGUCUUCCUUUAUAGUUCAUAAAAUGUCUUUAUUCCUAUGA